rnacentral:rRNA from 1 species
AACGGACGCUGGCGGCAUGCCUAACACAUGCAGGUCGAACGAGACCUUCGGGUCUAGUGGCGCACGGGUGCGUAACGCGUGGGAACCUGCCCUUAGGUUCGGAAUAACUCCCCGAAAGGGGUGCUAAUACCGGAUAAUGUCUUCGGACCAAAGAUUUAUCGCCUUUGGAUGGGCCCGCGUUGGAUUAGCUAGUUGGUAGGGUAAAAGCCUACCAAGGCGACGAUCCAUAGCUGGUCUGAGAGGAUGAUCAGCCACACUGGGACUGAGACACGGCCCAGACUCCUACGGGAGGCAGCAGUGGGGAAUAUUGGACAAUGGGCGAAAGCCUGAUCCAGCAAUGCCGCGUGAGUGAUGAAGGCCUUAGGGUUGUAAAGCUCUUUUACCCGGGAUGAUAAUGACAGUACCGGGAGAAUAAGCUCCGGCUAACUCCGUG